GUGGGGAAUUUUGGACAAUGGGCGCAAGCCUGAUCCAGCCAUGCCGCGUGAGUGAUGAAGGCCUUCGGGUUGUAAAGCUCUUUAGCCGAUGAUUAUAAUGACUGUAGUCGGAAAAUAAGCCCCGGCUAACUUCGUGCCAGCAGCCGCGGUAAUACGAAGGGGGCGAGCGUUAUUCGGAAUCACUGGGCGUAAAGCGUGCGUAGGCGGCUUUGCAAGUUGGGAGUGAAAGCCCAGGGCUCAACCCUGGAAUUGCUCUCAAAACUGCAAGGCUCGAAUUCGGGAGAGGAUAGCGGAAUUGUCAGUGUAGCAGUGAAAUGCGUAGAUAUUGACAGGAACACCAGUGGCGUAAGCGGCUAUCUGGACCGAUAUUGACGCUGAGGCACGAAAGCGUGGGGAUCAAACAGGAUUAGAUACCCGAGUAGUCC
rnacentral:rRNA from 1 species